rnacentral:rRNA from 1 species
AUUGAACGCUGGCGGCAUGCCUUACACAUGCAAGUCGAACGGCAGCACGGACUUCGGUCUGGUGGCGAGUGGCGAACGGGUGAGUAAUACAUCGGAACGUGCCCUGUCGUGGGGGAUAACUAGUCGAAAGAUUAGCUAAUACCGCAUACGACCUGAGGGUGAAAGCGGGGGACCGCAAGGCCUCGCGCGAUAGGAGCGGCCGAUGUCUGAUUAGCUAGUUGGUGGGGUAAAGGCCCACCAAGGCGACGAUCAGUAGCUGGUCUGAGAGGACGAUCAGCCACACUGGGACUGAGACACGGGCCAGACUCCUACGGGAGGCAGAAGUGGGGAAUUUUGGACAAUGGGGGCAACCCUGAUUCAGCAAUGCCGCGUGUGUGAAGAAGGCCUUCGGGUUGUAAAGCACUUUUGUCCGGAAAGAAAUCCCCUGCCCUAAUACGGCGGGGGGAUGACGGUACCGGAAGAAUAAGCACCGGCUAACUACGUGCCAGCCGCCGCGGUAA